rnacentral:rRNA from 1 species
CAGUCGCCGCGGGAAUACGAAGGGGGCUAGCGUUGCUCGGAAUUACUGGGCGUAAAGGGCGCGUAGGCGGACAGUUCAGUCGGGGGUGAAAGCCCGGGGCUCAACCUCGGAAUUGCCUUCGAUACUGGCUGUCUUGAGUAUGAGAGAGGUGUGUGGAACUCCGAGUGUAGAGGUGAAAUUCGUAGAUAUUCGGAAGAACACCAGUGGCGAAGGCGACACACUGGCUCAUUACUGACGCUGAGGCGCGAAAGCGUGGGGAGCAAACAGGAUUAGAUACCCCUGUAGUCCCUGUCUCUUAUAA